rnacentral:misc_RNA from 1 species
UGGAAUGCAAUGAUUAGCGGAUAUAUAGAGUGUGGGAAGAUAGAGUUUGCACGCAGUUUCUUUGAGGCAAUGGACAAAAAGAAUAAUGUUUCAUAUAUCAUAUUGAUUUCGGGAUACUCAAAAAAUGGAGAUGUUGAAUCUGCUGAGGAACUCUUUGGAAAAUUACGUAAGAAAGAUCAAGUAGUAUAUAAUGCCAUGAUAGCUUGUUAUGCUCAAAACAGCCGGGCAAAAGAGGCUCUGCAGCUGUUCAAUGAAAUGCUUCAAUUAGAUUUGCAACCUGAUGAAAUGACUUUGGCAAGUGCUAUUUCUGCUUGUUCUCAGCUGGGAGAUCUAAAGUUUGGUUCUUGGAUUGAGUCGUUCAUUCAUGAAACUGGAAUUCAAAUGGAUGACUUCUUGGCCACUAGUUUGAUCGACCUUUAUGCAAAAUG